rnacentral:rRNA from 1 species
CGGCUCAGUAACACGUAGCUAACCUACCCUUAAGUCGAGGAUACUCUCGGGAAACUGAGGUUAAUACUCGAUAGGAGAUGUACCCUGGAAUGAUUCAUCUCUCAAAUUCGAGCUUAAGGAUGGGGCUGCGGCGGAUUAGGUUGUUGGCGGGGUAAAAGCCCACCAAGCCGAUGAUCCGUAAGGGCUCUUAGCGGAGAGGCCCUGAGAGGGAAUCUGAGACACUAUUCCCAGCCCUACGGGGUGCAGCAGUUAGGAAUCUUCUGCAAUGCGCGCAAGCGUGACAGAUUGAGCCAGAGUGAUUUUCAUUUGAAAAUCUUUUGCCAAAUGUAAAAAGUUUGGCGAAUAAGGACUGGGUAAGACGGGUGCCAGCCGCCGCGGUAAUACCCGCGGUCCAAGUCGCAGCCAUCAUUAUUGGGUCUAAAACAUCCGUAGCUUGCUUAAUAAGUUUCUUGUGAAAUUCUAUAUCUCAAAUAUAGAGCGGGCAAGAAGUACUGUUAAGCUAGAGACUGGAAGACGUAAGAAGUACGUUUGGAGUAGCGGUAAAAUGUGUUAAUCCCAGACGGACUACCAACAGCGAAGGCAUCUUACGAGGACAGUUCUGACAGUAAGGGAUGAAGGCUAGGGGCGCAAAACGGAUUAGAUACCCGUGUAGUCCUAGCAGUAAACACUGCACACUAAACAUUAG